rnacentral:rRNA from 1 species
AAUGAACGCUGGCGGCAGGCCUAAAACAUGCAAGUCGAACGCCCUAGCAAUAGGGAGUGGCGCACGGGUGAGUAACACGUUGGAAUAUGCCUUUUGGUUCGGAACAACGUCUGGAAACGUACGCUAAUGCCGUAUGGUCCCUUCGGGGGGAAGAUUUAUCGGCAAAAGAUUAGCCCGCGUCUGAUUAGCUAGUUGGUGAGGUAAUGGCUCACCAAGGCGACGAUCAGUAGCUGGUCUGAGAGGACGAUCAGCCACACUGGGACUGAGACACGGCCCAGACUCCUACGGGAGGCAGCAGUUAGGAAUAUUGGACAAUGGACGCAAGUCUGAUCCAGCCAUGCCGCGUGAGUGAUGAAGGCCUUCGGGUUGUAAAGCGCUUUAGUCCACGAUUAUAAUGACUGUAGUGGAAGAAUAAGCCCCGGCUAACUUCGUGCCAGCCGCCGCAGUAACAC